rnacentral:rRNA from 1 species
CACGGAAUUAGCCUGUGCUUCCUCUGCGGAUCGCUCAAGAAUAGGGGAGAACCCCUAUCCAUUUGCUCCCCACUGACAGUGGUUUACAACCCGAAGGCCUUCAUCCCACACGCGGCGUCGCUCCGUCAGGCUUGCGCCCAUUGCGGAAGAUUCUCGACUGCAGCCACCCGUAGGUGUCUGGGCAGUGUCUCAGUCCCAGUGAGCGGGGGCAUGCUCUCACACCCCGUACCCGUCUUUGCCUUGGUGCGCUUUUACCACACCAACUAGCUGAUAGGACGCAGGCCCAUCCCCUGGCGGAAUCACACCUUUGGUCCUCAGACGUUCAUCUGGUAUUAACUUGCAGUUUCCCGCAGCUAUCCCAGACCCGAGGGCAGGUACCUACGUAUUACUCUCCCUUUCGCCGCUUUCACUGUAUUGCUACAGAUCACGCUCGACUUGCAUGCCUAAUCCACGCCGCCAACGUUCAUUCUGACGCCAGGAUCAAACUCUCUACG